UGCUUAUCAAAAUUAUAUUUUAGAGAGCUGGGAUAUUAUGAGUUUGAUUUCAUCUUAUGUAUGUAUCCUCAUGUACAUGGGUAUUUAAGUAUAUUUGUUGAAUAAGGAUUGUUAUUGUAAUAUUCACACGGAUGCUCUCCCAAUUUUAUGUAUUCACUGCUAAUAUGGUAAAUGUUGUUUUGAAAUUUGAUGUUGCAUCUCUCACCAAGUGCAAAUAUAAACCCAGCAUGUCUUCUGUGCUCAAGACUGCUAAGCCGCUUUCAUUCUACCUGUUCAAAAUAUUUGUUUUUGUAUGGCAAAUGUAAGUGUGAUUUAUUUAUAUUUUUGAAGCACCUAGCUUCCACAGUAUCCCAACCAGUACACUUUGUUUCUCGCUAACAUAAUUGUUUUUGUGUAAGCAAGAACAUAUGCUAUGAUUCGUUACAUGAUUACUCCCUACAAUUUUUUCUGAUGACAAGACAUACUUUAACCUAUGAUUUUUGUUGACAUUUUUCUCAUAUGCACAGAUAACCUUGUAUUUAAAAGUCAAGUAAUUUGUUUGUUUCUAGGGCAGUUGAUACCAUUUGGGCUAUUGUAAUGCACAUUCCUGUUUUUAGAUGUGUGCUGCCUUUUCAAUGGCAAAUUAGUUUAACUGCAGUUACCCAAAGAGCCAUAUCACUGGACUAACAAGUUCAUCUUUCUGUAGCAUACAGUGUGAUUUAGAUACCUUGUAUAUGCCAUAAACAUGAAUAGAGGCAAUAUAUAUUCUCACUUGUUUAUUUCUAUGCUUUCUUAGUUGUUUGACUCAGUAAUUUGCCACAAUUGCUUUUGUGGUGAAAAUAUAGAAUCUUUAUUUUUGUACUGUUAAAAAGUUUAUCUGUAUAAUGAUUUGUCAAUCUCCCUAACAGUGUUCUUUGUUGCUGUAUACCAUGCUUCAAUUAAAUCUCCUCUCUCAAGAUUGAGUAUGAAUUUAAUCUGAUCAUAUUUGAUUUUUUCCAGCUAUGGAAGGACAAAUGAUGAUUGCAUGUGGACAGCAAAUGUAAUAACUAGUUUUCUGCCAG
rnacentral:lncRNA from 1 species